CAGCAGCCACGGUAAUACGGAGGGAGCUAGCGUUGUUCGGAAUUACUGGGCGUAAAGCGCACGUAGGCGGUUAUUCAAGUCAGAGGUGAAAGCCCGGGGCUCAACCCCGGAACUGCCUUCGAAACUAGAUGACUGGAAUCUUGGAGAGGUCAGUGGAAUUCCGAGUGUAGAGGUGAAAUUCGUAGAUAUUCGGAAGGACACCAGUGGCGAAGGCGACUGACUGGACAAGUAUUGACGCUGAGGUGCGAAAGCGUGGGGAGCAAACAGGAUUAGAGACCCCCGUAGUCCCUGUCUCUUAUAC
rnacentral:rRNA from 1 species